rnacentral:ncRNA from 1 species
UAUCUUCGGGGCGGGGUGAAAGUCCCCACCGAUGGUAAUCCGCCUAUUCGGCGGUAGCCCAUGAGCGUAAGCAUGAUUUCGGUGAGAUUCCGAAGCCGACGGUAUAGUCCGGAUGUGAGAAGAA